GUACAUCAGGUUUUAUCUUCACAAGCUGCACACAUACGUCAUAGGGAGGUGUCAUGCUUCUGCAAGCAUACAGAAAUGAAGACAUGCCUGUGUUAUCAGCCAGUAAAGGUGGAUCUGAAACACAACAAGAUAUACCACCCUGAGGAUCCCAACACCUCUGAGCCACCAAGAAAACAAGCUAGUCUUCAACACUUGAAGGGCAAGCUUGUGAUUGUCAUCUAUGAUGAACUUCCAUAUGUAGGGCAGGUGCUUCAGAUUGUGGGAGAAGACAUCCAUUGUAACUGUUGCACAGAAGGAAAAGGAACACAGUGGCUGCUCAGGCCAGGUCUUCAGCCUCUUCUUCAAACUCUCCCUCCUCCUCUGCAGUGGCCUCCUGUUUAGAAGAAUUUUCUGAUUACCUAUGUUUGUCUAUCCUAGAAAGUGUUUGUCAGUAAGAUUAUGCUGGAGUGUGACCCGUGUGUGACCUGAAGGACAUCUGUGCAUGUGUAAUUGGGGACUUAAGGGUUAUUUAUGAAGUCAUCAGGGCAGGGAAGUAGUUUUUAGUUUAGAGGGAAGUGGGGUGAAAGAUAUGCUUGUGGAGAUAGGUGUUGGAGUUCAAAGGGUUACCACAUUCCCCCUUUGAUGUGUGGCUUUGCGUGUGUGGUUGCGGGGACGGUGACUGGUGAUUAGCAAUCCUGGAGGUACAACUCCAGCCUCUUGCCUCGCAUAGGUGUUUGGGAGUAAGUAAAGUGUGUUCACACCCCAUAGGUAAUAUGGGAAAAGGUAAAUGUAAACUUCAGGGUCCUCCUGACCCUCACAUCACUCAGACAAUGAAACAAAAAUAUGGGGAAAAGUAUAGUUAAAUAUUUGGGGUUGUAAAUUUGAAAUCAGAUUAGGAAAUUAUAAAAUAGGUUGAAAGAAGAAAAAUAAAACAUUGUGAAGGGUGGAAAGAAUUAAGAUUAAAAUGAGGAAGUUGGGUAAACAGAGAAAGUCUGGAAGAAAAAAGCUGAAUGUAGGGACAGAAAGGAAUGCUUAGGAGAUUAGAUGUGGACAAAUAUGUAGUAGGAAGAAAAGAUAAUAAUUAUCUUUUAAUUAUCAAAUAAAAAAUUGGCAGAUAAACUGCUUCUCUGUAAAUUACCUCCAAAAUACACCAGUGCUUCAGCUCCUUCUCUUUAUCCUCCUCUACCUGUCCUGCACACCCUAAAGCUUGAUCCAGAUCUGGACUCCUGCCCCUCAACACCAGCAGCACAACCGCAGCAACGACCGCAAAAACAACACCAUCAAGCCUCUCCUGUCUGUUUUCUAUCACCUAAAGACGGCUCUCCAGCAAUUACAGCUAACUUCCCAGACCUUGACCAUCCUGGGGUGUCAGCAACACCCAGUCAACAUGAACCAGGCUCUAGUACCCCUCCAGAAGAUCAGCGUUCCUGGACUGCGAAUGAUGUGGAAGAUUCAACCAAACUCCUUCACUGAUCAGUUCAGUCAGGAGAAAGCUUUGCUGAACAACUCGCAGGUGUCUGUCAAGAGUUCCAUGCAACGGGCUGAAAUCAGUCGUCUCCUAGCCAAGAAACUCAAGCCAGCUGAUCUUCAUAAAAAUUUCACAGUUCCUGCCUUUACCUUAACUCAGACUGAAAAAUGUUGAUUGUGGCCAUGGGGAUAAUAAUCUCUACAUUAACAUGGUAAGAAAAUUCUUUCACACAAAGAAAGGACAUGUCUAUUCCAAGCAGGAUUAAACUGCAAUCAGAUGAGCUUGCGGAUGAUUUCUGCCCUCAAGCCAGAGGUGCCCCUCCUGCUGGGUCUGUUGAACCUUCUCAUCAGGCUGACUGACGGGUUGGAGUUCCAGUGAUGAAGAAAAGCAGUGAGGAUGAUUCCCAGAGGGGAGGAUGUGACACACACACAUGCUGAAUGCAAAGAAGAAAUAGUAUCAGUCUAUCUAUCGCUUAGAAAUGUUUUUUAACUCUCACAUUUGUUCUAUAUAAAAUGCAAUGGAGAAAUUUCCAGAGCUGAAAUUAAAGGUUAUGGGGAAACUUAUUAUUUUCUUAUAGAAAAUAGAGUCCAGAGCUACAUGAUCUGUAAUUAGGACUUCUAGUUUUCCUUCACUCCCCCAUAUGGGUGAAUAUUAUGUGUAUUCUGUGGGGGCCUCAGGUCAAACUGUUAAUGAGUGGCUAACACAACCCCUCUGGUAAACAACACCUCAGGGUGCCGGUAUUAAACAUGCAUUUUUGCUCAAAAGAAGGCCCACUCAAUGCCCUCAGAACCAAUGGGAGGUCCCAUGCAGCCGCCGGCUUCUAUCUGGGAGGAUGCAGCCCCUUGGAGAAACUGCAUCAACCCCCACUUGCCUGCCGUCAACAUAAUAAUGAUUGACAGAGAUCACUGCCAUGUGAACCUUCAAGGUCGAAGCAGCCCUUCCAGCGUCAAAAAGACAUGGAGGUAUCACAAAAUGUCCUGCAGGGAACUGUGUCCAAACCCUUGUCACUGCAUCAUGCUGUAAAAUGUUGCUAACAAGCACAAGCCUUCAAAGUAGAAGGAGCCUGGGCACUCUAGUGUCUGGCGGAUCAAGGGCUCCAGACCCUUCAGGGCACCAAGGGGGACCCUGUGUUGCAAGUACACCACGUCUCUCCAGCAACAAAGAGCCAUGCACCUGGGAAUGACCCGCACCUUGACCCACCUGUGUAACAGAGGGUACAUGUGGAGAUGAAGCAGCCUAGGGGGUGUCAAAGCCGAGGCCGCCACCAGCAUUCCCAACAACCUCAGCCAUACCUGAACUGGGGGUGCAGCUCCUAGAUACAAAGACAGGAAUAAGGACCGAAUCCAGUCCAUGUGCUCUGUAGUAGACAGUGCCAGCAAAUCCAGCCCUAUGGGGAGGGAAGUCAUGUGCUGCGUUGGGGUCAAAGAGCUCUUUGCCAGUUCACCACCAACCCCAGUGCCUGGAUGAGAGCGAGGGCCCUGGACAUUGCCAGGCACACCUCUCGGCCUGAAGGGGCACAGACGAGCCAGUCGUCGAGAUACGACAGGAACUUCAAUCCUUAAGGGCACCUUUAUGCACCUCGUAAAUACCCGAGGAUUUAGGAACUGGCUGAAGGGCAGGACCACAUACUGGUAAACCGUGGGUACUUCCUGUGUUCUGGAUGGAUUGGAACAUGGAAAUAUGCAUCAAGGACACCUUGACCCCUGACGUGGGUGGGAGCUUAAGACGGAACUGCAACCUAUAUAUAUUUGGGAGAUGGUUGUUAACACCCACGCAUCUUGGCAAUGGGCCUCCCAGUAGGCCAGGUGCUGCUCUGAAAAUGUGCCCACCGCUGGCCCACAGCCCCACCGUGUUCUGCGCCUGUUAAGGCUUUUGGGGGGCCGGAGCGUCUCCACUUCUGCACCCCGACAGCCCCGUGGGGAGGAGCCUGUACCACCCUGGGCUGACGCCACGUACCUGCCGCAGCUGCCAGGUCUGUGAAGGAGCAGCACCCCGAAACUGACACCAAGGUUCUUGUGCACCUCGCUUCCUCUGCUGCUGGGUAGGGGUUGCCAUACACCCGCUGCAACUGUGCCAAACCUCUGAGGCCUGGCUGGACUGCUGCUGGUGUUCCAAUGCCCUCUCAGCCUCGGUAGUGCCGAACAGCUGGUUCGGCACUACCAGCAGACUCCGCAUGGUCUGCCUGCAGUCGUCUGAUAGUGGAGCCUGUGCCAGCCAGACCUGAUUUUGCAUGAACACCGAGGUGACCAACAGAUGACGCAGUUCCCUUGACAUCUGUGAAAAAGCAUGCAAAGACGCAUCACUGGUGUCCCCAAACGCUGCCCCUGACAUCCCUGGCUAGAGCAUCUGAGACUGUGCCUGCAGAAGCACAGAGAGAAUUGUCCAUAUGAGCCAUACGAGCCGCAAUGUCGUAGGCUCGGCACAAAAAGCUGUUGGUCACCCAGCACUGGGUGCUCGUACAGCAGACUUUCUCUUUCAACACCUUGUCCGGAGAGAGAACCAUUGAGGCGAUGCAGUGAUCCACCGGGGGCUUGCGGUCCUGCCCAUGGAGCUCGGAUUGUGCAUGGAGGCCAGGGUUCCCGCGUCCCUGGCAUGGUAACGGAACACCCUUGGAUCCGUCCAACAGCGCCUAAAUUCUUGCAAAAGGCCGGCGACGGUGAAACUUCAAAUGGAGGGGCCACUUGGUCACAGCAGAAAAAAGGAUUGCCUGUGGGACGGACUGCUGGUGCAUCAUCCAGUCAGAGCUGCCAUAAAAAUGACCUGCAAUGGGCAAGGCUCUUCCUCCGAGUCGGAACUAAUCGAACUGCUGAGGGACGAUCCCGAACCGUCGUUGACCUCCAUACUGGGGGGCUUGGCCCCACGACCCCGGAGGUCUUCGAGGGUCUGAAACUCAAAAUUGGAGGCCUUCCUAGGAGGAAGGCUGGAGUCCCCAGAAGCACCUUAACCUGCUCCACCUUGGCCUCAGGGAAUCCACCUGCUGCCGAGAGGGACCCUGCAACUUUGCCUUCUUCCACCGUGGGCUACCGUGAUCCUCAGCCAUGAGGAUGUUUGUCUAAAAUGUUUGUCUUAUUUGUUGUUUCUUCUGAUCUUAAACACUUAAAUUCAGAUGACAAAGCACCAAUGUCAGUAAAUUCCCUUGGCGUGUAUGAUUUGUCCACUACCCUCUGGGUGCAGGGUAAAGGACAGCAGGACAACCUGAACCAGAACACACAGACAGAAGAAAAGUCUCGGUAUGUGGCUGGAAAGACCGAAGAGUUUAACCAGCGACUGAGGGAGCAGCCAGCAGAUACACAGCUGUGGAUAAAGUUCAUUCACUACCAGGAUGAGCUGAGUGCAGCUGCAUUUGGAGGUGAUGAAGAGCAGCAAGGUAGUGACUUAGCGGAGCACCGUAAGUCCUCUUACAGGGCAGUGCUGGAGAAAAAGCUGAGCAUUGCAGACAGAGCUGUGGAAACCAACCCCACCUGCAUCGCACUGCAGCUCGAGAGGCUCCAGAUCUGCCAGGAGCUCUGGGAACCCUCCACUUUAGCUAAAGAAUGGAAGAAACUGAUUCCAGUGCCGAUUAUUGUUCAACCACAAACCAGGGUGGUGAAAGAUGCAACUGUACAGAUGGAAAAGUGUGAUGAAGAGGAGGAAAAACAAGAAAACAAAUCUGCUUUCAGUAAGGAUAAAGAUUUAAUAAUUUUAGAUUUUUAUCCAGAUCACCGCAUAAUUACAACCCAUAAAAAAAACGUCCCAAUUGGAAUCAGUUAUGAUCAGAUUGUGCCAACUAUAAACUGUUAUUUUAGUUUUCACAUCUUAAAGAAACAAAAAAAUAACACCAAACUAAAAGCUUUCUUAACAUAAAAUCAAAGCUGUCUUGGUCUUCCUCCUGGUAUUUGUUUGUGUUUCAGAUGUUUCAGGGUUGUGGGGUAGGUUCAGCACUAAAAUAUACUUAUUUCUUCUGCUUAAUGGGUUUGUGUGUCCCUGCUGUAGGUCGUUAAGACUGAAGUCUUAAAAACAUAAACAUUGACAGUUUUUUGUUUUCACAGAAUCAUUGAAUCUGAACUUGUCUGUUUGACAGCGAGGAGUGAAGAAACCCAGAAGUUACUACAGUUGAAAACUGGUACAACACUUUCUGAUUCAAUCAGCAGUUUAAACUCCAAGAUAUCUCAUCAAACCCAAAGAUGCUGAUGUUGUGAUCUUCUACAAAGCUUUAUGCUCAGUCUCCUUUACAAUUAGUGUCACCGUUGGUGGAUUAUUUGUAGACUUUGAAGAUUUUGUAGAUUUGAAACCUAAUUUAACUCAGAUUUUAUAGAUUUCUCAUCUACAUCAUGCUACUUUAUCCAAAUAGAUUAUUUGAAUGUAUUUUUAACUUUCAAUUUUACUGAAGGAUUUACACAUGCUGACUAUUUCACUACCUGAGGUUUUGAUUUUAGCUCCCAGGGAAUUUGAAUACCCUUGAACUGCGCUGCAGAGCAAAUCUGCAUAUCGCUAUGAGGACCUAGUUUCCUACAUUUAAAUAAGGCAUUUUGCAUGAAUUUCAUAUGUAAAACAGCAAAGUACAAGACCAUUUGCACCAUUCUCUCUGUCACUUUUGUACAUGCUAUUUUUUGAUGUUUUUAGUUAAACUGACCUGGUCAAACUUCUAUGCUGUCAGAUGUCUGAAAUAAACGUAUUCACCUUGAUAUAAAGCUUUAAAAAGUUUUCUAACAUUGGCAGAAAAGAAAAACUUAAGUCAAAGGAAACCAAGACAAAACUCAGCAAGUAGGGUAUUGUAAAUAAAACUCCUCAUGAUGACAGACAGAACCCAAUAAGCUCCCUGGGAAAACCUCUGACUGAUAAAUGCAUAUUUAUCUGCAAAUAAAAACAUUUGUUGAACACCAUAUUUUUCACAUUUUAAAGACUUCUUGGAACAAUGAACCUGUUACAUUUCCACUCUUGUAAUGGAGACGGGCCAAGCAAAGGCCUCCCCAACAUGGGACAUACUUAGGAUUAACGGCUUCAGACUGAUUCCACUAUGGCAGUUUUAUCAUCUGUGCUAUUUGCUUUGUGAAUCACAUGCAGAGCACAAAGAUGUGCAACAAACAGAGCUGAUACCACAUUUAGCACAAACUUAGUGGGUCAGGGCCAAUGAUUUCUGUGGCAUCCACAAAAAUAAUUUCUAUUAUCCUCUUUUUGUGGAACUUCUCAGUUAGUUUUUAGAAAUAAAGUGUACAUGUUUUGGUGGUUGGCACACAAUGAAAGACGUUUACCAGAGUUCCUACACAAUCUUCAAGUGUGAAAAGGUUUGAAUGACGUUCUUUCAUCCUCCAGGUCUUGAUAAGUAUGGAAACAAAUGAUGGAUAGAUGUUUGAGUUUCCAGUUUCAUUUCACAAUAUAAAAGAAAACAGUUUUUACAUCCGUUAUCUUUGAUUUCUCACAUUACAACCUUGGCUUUUGUCAAACUCUUUGAUUGAAACUGAGGAGUCAUUUUUGGUGUUGUAUUGCAGUCAAUGAAAUAUGAGACACAGACAGAAAAUUACUGAAAGAUGGAUAACUUAUCACGUUACACAGAAAAGUAACUAGUAACUUUGAAGAACAUUAUGUGAACAGUCAAUGUGAACCUGGUCUGACUUCGAGUUACACCAUUUAGUCCCACUGAAAAAAAAUUAAAAAACUAGGUAGUUUAUUCACACACUUAUACAAACUACUGACUUAUGAAUGCAGCCUAAACUAUAAGGAUAACUUUGAAACAAUGUAAAAGCCAAAUAAAACUCAAAACAAAACAUUUAAUAUGAUCCAAGUGUCAGUUUUACAUGAUUUAAAAUAUUUAUGCUCCAGACGAAUUUCAAAUUUAAUAUUUAGUAUGUUUUCAGCGA